rnacentral:rRNA from 16 species
UGAGUUUGAUCCUGGCUCAGGACGAACGCUGACGGCGUGCUUAACACAUGCAAGUCGAACGAUGAACCACUUCGGUGGGGAUUAGUGGCGAACGGGUGAGUAACACGUGGGCAAUCUGCCCUGCACUCUGGGACAAGCCCUGGAAACGGGGUCUAAUACCGGAUAUUGACCUUCACGGGCAUCUGUGAGGUUCGAAAGCUCCGGCGGUGCAGGAUGACCCGCGGCCUAUCAGCUUGUUGGUGAGGUAAUGGCUCACCAAGGCGACGACCGGUAGCCGGCCUGAGAGGGCGACCGGCCACACUGGGACUGAGACACGGCCCACACUCCUACGGGAGGCAGCAGUGGGGAAUAUUGCACAAUGGGCGAAAGCCUGAUGCAGCGACGCCGCGUGAGGGAUGACGGCCUUCGGGUUGUAAACCUCUUUCAGCAGGGAAGAAGCGAAAGUGACGGUACCUGCAGAAGAAGCGCCGGCUAACUA